rnacentral:rRNA from 1 species
UACGAAGGGGGUUAGCUUCGUUCGGAAUUCCAGGGCGUAAAGCGCACGUAGGCGGCCUUGUAAGUUGGGGGUGAAAUCCCGGGGCUCAACCUCGGAAUUGCCUUCAAGACUGCUUGGCUCGAGUUCGGGAGAGGUGAGUGGAAUUCCCAGUGUAGAGGUGAAAUUCGUAGAGAUUGGGAAGAACACCAGUGGCGAAGGCGGCUCACUGGCCCGUACCUGACGCUGAGGUGCGAAAGCGUGGGGAGCGAACAGG